CAAGGUCGAAAGCUGGCUCCAUCACUGUGAAUAUUAUUUUAUCCAGAAACACUAAUUACAAUAGGGGAUUAGGCGGUGAUGGUGUCUUCGUCUCAGGAAACGCUGGACCUACUUUGGGAUCAAGGAGAACAAAUAUAAAUAGGUUCUGCUGGAGGAAGUGGAGGAGAAGGAAUGCCUGCCGCCGGUGAGUACUCAGGGUAUUGCCAUCAAUAAGAACAUGGGGGAUCAGACUACCGCCAACUAACUAGAUCAUCUUGAUUCUGAUAUUAUCCCAGUACACUGUUAGCAUAGCUUUGCAUCUAAUAGCUCACACCAAUCUAUGGUUUCCUUGUGCUUAGAUGUUUUAUUAGACAGAUGUAUAAUGCAUUUCUCAAAGUACUGAAC